GUGUACCCGCGGCAAGACGGAAAGACCCCGUGAACCUUUACUAUAGCUUGACACUGAACAUUGAGCCUUGAUGUGUAGGAUAGGUGGGAGGCUUUGAAGCGUGGACGCCAGUCUGCGUGGAGCCGACCUUGAAAUACCACCCUUUAAUGUUUGAUGUUCUAACGUGGAUCCGUAAUCCGGGUUGCGGACAGUGUCUGGUGGGUAGUUUGACUGGGGCGGUCUCCUCCUAAAGAGUAACGGAGGAGCACGAAGGUUGGCUAAUCCUGGUCGGACAUCAGGAGGUUAGUGCAAUGGCAUAAGCCAGCUUGACUGCGAGCGUGACGGCGCGAGCAGGUGCGAAAGCAGGUCAUAGUGAUCCGGUGGUUCUGAAUGGAAGGGCCAUCGCUCAACGGAUAAAAGGUACUCCGGGGAUAACAGGCUGAUACCGCCCAAGAGUUCAUAUCGACGGCGGUGUUUGGCACCUCGAUGUCGGCUCAUCACAUCCUGGGGCUGAAGUAGGUCCCAAGGGUAUGGCUGUUCGCCAUUUAAAGUGGUACGCGAGCUGGGUUUAGAACGUCGUGAGACAGUUCGGUCCCUAUCUGCCGUGGGCGCUGGAGAACUGAGGGGGGCUGCUCCUAGUACGAGAGGACCGGAGUGGACGCAUCACUGGUGUUCGGGUUGUCAUGCCAAUGGCACUGCCCGGUAGCUAAAUGCGGAAGAGAUAAGUGCUGAAAGCAUCUAAGCACGAAACUUGCCCCGA
rnacentral:rRNA from 2 species